AUGCAAAGAACUUUGAAAAGAGAGUUAAAGAGUACCUGAAAUUGCUGAAAGGGAAGCGAAGGAAACCAGUGUUGGGUUGGUCAUAUUUCCCAGUCUGCUUGCAGUUUGGGCGCUGUGUCCGUCCUGAGUUGUUCUUGGUUGUCGCUGGUGGAAGGGCGUGCGCAGAGUUGAUGCGACAUUGCCAGCACGAGCGUUGACUGAGGAGGACGAAAUGGUUUUCUUUACCCCGUCUUGAAACACGGACCAAGGAGUCUAACAUAUGUGCGAGUACAGGGGUGGCAAACCCCCGUGCGCAAUGAAAGUGACAGUGGUUGGAUAUUUGCACAAUCCGCCGGCCUCAAUCCCUCGGGAGAACGGUCUGAGUGUGAGCAUACAUGUUGGGACCCGAAAGAUGGUGAACUAUGCCUGAAUAGGGUGAAGCCAGGGGAAACUCUGGUGGAGGCUCGUAGCGAUUCUGACGUGCAAAUCGAUCGUCAAAUUUGGGUAUAGGGGCGAAAGACUAAUCGAACCAUCUAGUAGCUGGUUCCCUCCGAAAUUUCCCUCAGGAUAGCUGCGAUCGGAGUUCAAUUUUAUCA
rnacentral:rRNA from 1 species